UACGUAGGGUGCGAGCGUUGUCCGGAAUUAUUGGGCGUAAAGGGCUCGUAGGCGGUUUGUCGCGUCGGGAGUGAAAACUCAGGGCUUAACCCUGAGCCUGCUCCCGAUACGGGCAGACUAGAGGUAUGCAGGGGAGAACGGAAUUCCUGGUGUAGCGGUGAAAUGCGCAGAUAUCAGGAGGAACACCGGUGGCGAAGGCGGUUCUCUGGGCCUUACCUGACGCUGAGGAGCGAAAGCGUGGGGAGCGAACAGG
rnacentral:rRNA from 1 species